UUUGGAGGGCAAGUAUGGUGCCAGCAGCCGCGGUAAUUCCAGCUCCAAUAGCGUAUAUUAAGUUGUUGCAGUUAAAAAGCUCGUAGUUGAAUUUCGGGGUCUGUCCAUCGGUCGGGCUUUUUCGGUCCGCACUGUUGCGAUGGAUUCCUACCUUCUGAAUAACCGAUUUGCCAUUAAUUUGGUGGGUCGGGGAAGCAGGACUGUUACCUUGAAAAAAUUAGAGUGCUCAAAGCAGGCUAGUGCCUGAAUACAUUAGCAUGGAAUAAUAAAAUAGGACGGCAUGGUUCUAUUUUGUUGGUUUCUAGGAUCACCGUAAUGAUUAAUAGGGAUAGUUGGGGGCAUUAGUAUUCAAUUGUCAGAGGUGAAAUUCUUGGAUUUAUUGAAGACUAACUACUGCGAAAGCAUUUGCCAAGGAUGUUUUCAUUAAUCAAGAACGAAAGUUAGGGGAUCGAAGACGAUCAGAUACCGUCGUAGUCUUAACCAUAAACUAUGCCGACUAGGGAUCGGACGAUGUUAAUUUUUUAAUGACUCGUUCGGCGCCUUACGGGAAAC
rnacentral:rRNA from 1 species